rnacentral:rRNA from 1 species
GAUGAACGCUGGCGGCGUGCCUAAUACAUGCAAGUCGAGCGAACAGAUGAGGAGCUUGCUCCUCUGACGUUAGCGGCGGACGGGUGAGUAACACGUGGAUAACCUACCUAUAAGACUGGGAUAACUUCGGGAAACCGGAGCUAAUACCGGAUAAUAUAUUGAACCGCAUGGUUCAAUAGUGAAAGACGGUUUUGCUGUCACUUAUAGAUGGAUCCGCGCCGCAUUAGCUAGUUGGUAAGGUAACGGCUUACCAAGGCAACGAUGCGUAGCCGACGUGAGAGGGUGAUAGGCCACACUGGAACUGAGACACGGUCCAGACUCCUACGGGAGGCAGCAGUAGGGAAUCUUCCGCAAUGGGCGAAGGCCUGACGGAGCAACGCCGCGUGAGUGAUGAAGGUCUUCGGAUCGUAAAACUCUGUUAGUAGGGAAGAACAAAUGUGUAAGUAACUAUGCACGUCUUGACGGUACCUAAUCAGAAAGCCACGGCUAACUACGUG